AGCUGCCUGAAGGAGCAAGGGUACGUGAGGCUGAGCAGUGCUGGGGAAGGGCAAAGGAGCUGGGGAGCUCCAGCCUGGCAACUCCCCAGGCUGAGGCCUUGGUUAAGGCCUAAGAAGGAACUGGGUCAAAGUUUUGGAGUACCAUGUGUUCUUUUGCCCAUGCUCUUUGCAAGAAGGGCGUAAUGAAGUUCCAUGCUUGACAGAUACGAUGUAUUACAGCUCACUGCAAACUGUAGGUUGUUGUUGUGAGAUAUUUGCUUAGUUUUACAGUCCUUAUAGUGGUAACUUGGCCUUCUAUGUGCUGUGCAGGAAUGGUAAUCUACAAGACAGUGUGAAGGUUUAUUCUAUGUUCUGGUGGAAGAGAAUGGUAUUUUCUGUAAACUAGUGCACCUCAGCUGGCAGAAAGGAGAAAUUCAAUGUGAAGAUGAACAACUGAGACCUGAAAGCUGUAGGGUACAGGACUUCAUUUUUUCAACAAGUUGAUAAAAAGGCCAUCCUAGGAUCCUGGUGGAAUGCUGUAACAAUUCUAAAAGCUUCGAGGUGUCAGCUGUGCAAAAGGCAAUGAAGAACUUUAAACUGAGCCCAGCAUCAGGUUUAGGAUGUGAAGCUGUGAAGAGCCCUGUGUAGAUGGUGGCAUCCAACAGGACUUUGAUGACUGAGUGAAUCUGGAAAGUGGAAUCAACAACCAAUCAAAUGACAGAUUACUGAAAGAGUCAGAGCAUGAUGGACAAUCCGCAGACGAUACUCAUUUUACAAGUCUGCAGCAAGAGUAAGAAGACAUGACAUAAUUCCUUUUGGCCGCUCCAGACAAAAAUAGUAUAAUAAGCCUCAAGAGAUUAAAAGACUUGGAGGAACUCUGGUCUGGUUUUAUUUUAAAGUGGUCAGCUUAGAAAAAGAAUUGACAUUAGCAAGAAAAGAGUGAUCUUAUCAGGUAUUCACCAAAAUCAACAUAUGAAAACUAUCAAGAGAAGUCUGAGAAGCUGUAUUCUACCCUCUGGAUGUCUGAGGGGGCUAGAUACAGAAAUCCAUUGAGCAAUUUCAGCAAGAGUGAUUUUGUACCAGAAGCUUCAUUGUUAGAGCAUUAUUGGUCAGGUUCCACUGGACAGAUAAAGCACAGUAUAUUUGUGUUUCUUGAUUUGGGGUCAUGCUCCCAAUUCCUUCUCUGGCCUUCUGCCUUCACCGCUCAGGCUGCAAACCACUAUCCACCCCCUGCACUCGCAACGAGAGACACCCCUCUGAAUCUGCCUGGGUUGUUGGAUUGAGAGAGUCACUUUCUCAGCGGAUGGGUCGAACAAAUCUCUGUUAAGGUAAACCACUCAGAAAGGAGUGAUCAGUGGGAAGCUCAUCAGGACAAUCUCAUCACAGUUGCCUCCAGCACCGGAUAAUAUAGUUUCAGCUUCCUUUUCUUUAGGCUGAAUUAUUUAUAACUUUUGUUGUCUUGAGCAUAUCUAUUCGUUUCUUAUUUCCAUGUUAACUCUCCUCCCCGGUCAGUACAGGUUUUGUGGUAGUUCAAACCGGUUUCUUCUAGCUUUGUGGCUACUUUAUCUUUUAUUUUCCUCAUGAACAUGAUUCCUCUGCAUCUUUCUUAUAGGUGCACAGUUCUGCUUACGCUGUUAAAUGGUAUCAGAACAGACACUUAAAGUUCACAGGAGGCUUCUAUCAGACCUAAAUAUGGCUUCACUCUCAACAUGGGUUAGCUUUGCUCCAGGCUGGCCAUGUGCUUAGUGCCUUGGGCAGUAGCCUCCAUUGUCU